GGGUCGAUGGCGUAGUUGGUUAUCGCAUCUGUCUAACACACAGAAGGUCUCCAGUUCGAACCUGGAUCGACUCA
rnacentral:tRNA from 3 species